rnacentral:rRNA from 1 species
GAUGAACGCUGGCGGCGUGCCUAAUAUAUGCAAGUCGAGCGAACAGACGAGGAGCUUGCUCCUCUGACGUUAGCGGCGGACGGGUGAGUAACACGUGGAUAACCUACCUAUAAGACUGGGAUAACUUCGGGAAACCGGAGCUAAUACCGGAUAACAUGUUGAACCGCAUGGUUCAACAGUGAAAGACGGUUUUGCUGUCACUUAUAGAUGGAUCCGCGUCGCAUUAGCUAGUUGGUAAGGUAACGGCUUACCAAGGCAACGAUGCGUAGCCGACCUGAGAGGGUGAUCGGCCACACUGGAACUGAGACACGGUCCAGACUCCUACGGGAGGCAGCAGUAGGGAAUCUUCCGCAAUGGGCGAAAGCCUGACGGAGCAACGCCGCGUGAGUGAAGAAGGUCUUCGGAUCGUAAAACUCUGUUAUUAGGGAAGAACAAAUGUGUAAGUAACUAUGCACGUCUUGACGGUACCUAAUCAGAAAGCCACGGCUAACUACGUG